rnacentral:rRNA from 1 species
UUCUAAAUUAUUUUAGGUACUACUUUACUUUUAGGAAACCUAUGCAGUUUGGCGGCAUUAAUUCAUUUUAGAGGAACCUGCCUUUUAAUCGAUAACCCACGAUAAAUUUUACUUCUAUUUAUAUCUUAUAUACCUCCAUCUUAAGGAUUAAUAUUUUUAUUCUUCCCUAAAUAAAAAUUUAAAAAGUUAGGUAAAGGUGUAGACAAUAUGGAAGAUAAUGUGGGUUACUAUAAACUUUAUUUAAGGAUAUUUAGUAAAAAUUAAAUUUGAAAACGGAUUUAUUAGUAAUUUAAGAAUAUUACUCUUUUAUGAAAUUGAUAAACAAUGUGCACACAUCGCCCGUCGCUCU